CGGAUGCAUACACUCCACCAAUCAACAACAAUAGUUAAAAUCCUAUUAAUAUUAUGUCUCACAUAAAAAUACAUGUAGUUAAUUUUUUAUUAGUUAGAUGUUCAUCAUAUAAAGCUUAUCUGAGUGGUCGGUCUAAGUAUUAACAAUCAUUUAGGUGAAAUUAAAACCAGACUGAAUUAAAACCGAACACUAAGUUGCCACCUAACUUAAAUCAGACCCAAACCAUAACUAUUGAGAACUGGAACCGUGUGUGGCUGAGACUCAACAGUACAAUAUAGGGUCAAGCCAGCCGGCCGGGAAACACCGAUGCAAAAACCGGCCAUGGCCAUGGCUAUGCAUAGGUUUACCCCCAAAUACGGAAUUCAUGGCUGCACCAUUUCUGCAACCCACAAGGAAGCAUAGGUUGGAUCUUGCAAAGAUGCUAAUGAUGAUCAGAGUUAGGUAUCAUUCCAAAGAAAUAUAAGAGGUAAUCAAGAGAGCAAGUAGAGCUUCAACCCAUCAAAUAUAAUUGAAUGGAUGUAUUUACAAGUUGAGGGGUUAGAGCUAUUUUAAGAUGAGACGACUAAAAGAAACAUGUGGUGAGCAUGUACAGUGUCAGCAAUCUAUUGAGGUUAAUUAGACAAUUCAGUUGCUGAUAUCGAAAUAUCUUGGAUCUUCUGGGAAAUGAUAUUCCACAUUCAACUGCCAAAGAGAAAGCCAUGAACCUCAUUAGACUAUUAGACAAGCUAAUGUAGAGGGUGAAAAUUUUGUUUAACUUCGUCAAUGUAAAUAUUUCAGCAUAGAGACCAUGGAUAACUUGUUCGCAAGGCUUUAGCUUCUAGGUAAAGACUCACCCCCAUUUACAGAGAAUUUGCACAAGAGAGUUUCCAUUGUUAUUAGGAGCAUGCACAUCAGGCCAGCCCCAUUAGGCCAUGUUUUUAUAGAGACAACAAAAGAAGCAAAACAGCAGUCUAAUUCUUGAUGCAACAAACUCAACAAGAAGAAAAAUAUAAUGGAGAAAAUUACGGCAUUGACUUAUUCACUCAUUUGAAACAGUAAAAUUAGAUAUGCAGAGUCCAU
rnacentral:misc_RNA from 1 species